GGGCCUGUAGCUCAGCUGGCUAGAGCGCACCCCUGAUAAGGGUGAGGUCCGAGGUUCGAGUCCUCGUAGGCCCA
rnacentral:tRNA from 1 species